rnacentral:tRNA from 2 species
GGGCAUAUAGCUCAGCUGGUUAGAGCGCUCGCUUCACAUGCGAGAGGUCCGAGGUUCGAAUCCUCGUAUGCCCACCA